AACGAACGCUGGCGGCAUGCCUAACACAUGCAAGUCGAACGAGACCUUCGGGUCUAGUGGCGCACGGGUGCGUAACGCGUGGGAACCUGCCCUUAGGUUCGGAAUAACUCCCCGAAAGGGGUGCUAAUACCGGAUAAUGUCUUCGGACCAAAGAUUUAUCGCCUUUGGAUGGGCCCGCGUUGGAUUAGCUAGUUGGUAGGGUAAAAGCCUACCAAGGCGACGAUCCAUAGCUGGUCUGAGAGGAUGAUCAGCCACACUGGGACUGAGACACGGCCCAGACUCCUACGGGAGGGAGCAGUGGGGAAUAUUGGACAAUGGGGGAAAGCCUGAUCCAGCAAUGCCGGGUGAGUGAUGAAGGCCGUAGGGUUGUAAAGCUCUUUUACCCGGGAUGAUAAUGACGGUACCGGGAGAAUAAGCCCCGGCUAACUCCGUG
rnacentral:rRNA from 1 species